GUAACAAGGUUUCCGUAGGUGAACCUGCGGAAGGAUCAUUACCGAGUGCAGGUCUGCCCCCGGGCAGGCCUAACCUCCCACCCGUGAAUACCUGACCAACGUUGCUUCGGCGGUGCGCCCCCCCCGGGGGUAGCCGCCGGAGACCACACCGAACCUCCUGUCUUUAGUGUUGUCUGAGCUUGAUAGCAAACCUAUUAAAACUUUCAACAAUGGAUCUCUUGGUUCCGGCAUCGAUGAAGAACGCAGCGAACUGCGAUAAGUAAUGUGAAUUGCAGAAUUCAGUGAAUCAUCGAGUCUUUGAACGCACAUUGCGCCCCCUGGCAUUCCGGGGGGCAUGCCUGUCCGAGCGUCAUUGCUGCCCUUCAAGCCCGGCUUGUGUGUUGGGUCGUCGUCCCCCCCGGGGGACGGGCCCGAAAGGCAGCGGCGGCACCGCGUCCGGUCCUCGAGCGUAUGGGGCUUUGUCACCCGCUCGAUUAGGGCCGGCCGGGCGCCAGCCGGCGUCUCCAACCUUCUAUUUUACCAGGUUGACCUCGGAUCAGGUAGGGAUACCCGCUGAACUUAAGCAUAUCA
rnacentral:misc_RNA from 1 species